AUGAGGGCCUUAUUCUGGAAUAUUAGAGGGUUCAGUGCUAGGGGGCGCCGUGACCAACUGAAAGAUUUGGUUCGUUCUAACUCUAUUGACUUUGUGGGGCUGGUUGAAACGUUUAAGGAUUCCUUUACCCCCAGUGAGCUUUCUGCUAUCGUGGGUAUGGAUAGAUUUCAGUGGCAAUCUUUACCGGCUUCGGGCCACUCUGGUGGGAUUCUGAUCGGUUCUAAUAAGGAUAUUUUUGACUUUGUUGCUUUUGAUCAUGGGUUUUAUUGGGCUAGUGUUGUUCUCUCACAUAGAUCUAUGAAUGCCCUCUGUGAAUUUAUAGUUGUUUAUGGGCCCGCGGAUCACUCCUUUUCGCACCUUUUCCUUGAUGAACUUUCGAUCAAGCUUGAGUCCUGUUCUCUCCCAACAGUGAUUGGGGGAGACUUUAAUCUUCUGCGAUGCCCUCUUGACAAGAAUAAUGAUAAUUUUUCCUGGUCUUUAGCCAAUGCUUUUAACAACUUUAUUAGUGUCAACGCCAUUCGGGAGCUUCCUCGGGGGGAGCCCGCUUUACUUGGUCUAAUCAUCAGGCGAACCCUAUCAGAUCCGUGCUUGAUCGUGUCUUCCUAUGUCCCAGUUGGGAUGCCUUGUUUCCUAGGUCCUCUCUUGUAG
rnacentral:rRNA from 1 species